AGUGAUCUGCCAGCCUUGACCUCCCAAGUGCUGGGAUUACAGGCGUGAGCCACGGCACUCGGCCUCAAAUCUACGUCUUUAUUAUCAUUUCUCUAUCUGAUCUAUUAGAUUAUUAUGAGAUUCUGUCAAAUGAUUUCCUGAAACGCAGACUUCCUCUGUGUCUAUUAUACCGGCCUAAUCUGCCAGCCUGGCAAAUCUUAUGAAAAAGAAAAUUAGAGUUGGGAGGAACUUGAGACAGUCUUCUGGGGUACUGAUAAUGUUACAUUUCUGGAUCUGGGUGGUGGUUACAUGGGUGUCUCCACUUUCAAUAAUUCAUCAAGUAGAAUGUGUUAAACUUUUCUAUAUGGAGGGAUGGGGGAGGGAGGACUUAAGCAUUAAACUAGUCCAGCAAGACCUGGUUUUAUGGAACCCACACUAACUCUAAGAAAUGACCUCUUUUCUUUAAAAAUACUCUUAAGUCACAUCUCAAAAACUUGCUCUGUUAUUUUGAAAACCAGAACAGUUGCCCAUUGUGUCUCCUUGCCCCUCUCCCAAUCCCCAUAAUGCCAUAAAGAUUUCUGCACACAGUUUGAUGAUGAUGUCCCUAAGUUUCUGUCUGGCAUUUAAUUUUUCAGACCCUGUCUAAUUUGGAGAAGCCAGUGGUUCAUUUACACUUUUUGUACACUCCUGGUCUCAAGUUCCACUUAACUCUAUGUUUGUUUUACUUUCUGCAGGAAGGCCAUUCUCCUUGAGAGAGAAGGCAGAGGCAAACAGAAUAAGCAGUAAGGACAGAGAUGCCCUCUAUGGCAUCUGCUAAAUCACCUGAUUGAACCAGGUGGCCUAAAGCCUUCCUUGCCAUCCCUCUCACUCUCAACAGUAGCUGCACAGGCGCCUUUGUUGUUCUUAGUGUUUCCCAGGUCUCACCCAUCUGGUGCUCCUGACACUGUUCUCGGAGGUUGCAUCCACUUCUCUAUUUGCUCUUGGUUACAGGUCCCUUUUUCAUCUCUAGACAAAAUCUCAGCUCGAACUGUGCCCCCUGAAGCCAUGUGGGUCUCUUUAGGUGGCUCCCUGUUCCCUGCAGUAAUCACUCGUGACUCUAUUAAGUACACUUCAUUUUUCAAACUCUAAGUCAUCUUUCCUUUUGAAGCUCCUGUUCAGACAUCAUAUCUACUUUUUCCUGGACCCUCUGAAAUUUACUUUCCCUAAAACUCAGAGGCAGAGAGUUUUACCUUCCCCUUUUAGCUUCUCCAAACACAGUCACUUUCUGCUGAUGUUCUCUAGACUUUUUUUUUUUUUUUUUUUUUACCAGACAGAUCCUUCUUGUUGCUCAGAAUAUAAUUUCAGUGAGGCCCUUCUCCUUAUUGCUUCCUUAACCUCCUGAGAGAGAAAACUGUCAGAAAAGAGAAUUAAGAAUUAAAGCAAGUGAAGAAUUUAUUGGUUUCUUUUUUUUUUCUAGAAGAUUUCCAACUGCCCAGAUACCCCGUGCACCACGCCAGUUUGCUUCUGUGCCAGUUUUAUAAUUUCAAUUGAGAAAGCCUCUUCUACACGGAGGCCCAAACCCAGGAAGCAAAACACUGAGUGCUGCUCUGGAGUCAGAGAGACCUAGGUGAAAGUCCGAGAUUCUAGUGUUUUCAGCUGUGUGACUGAGGACCAAAGUGAUGAGGAGGGAGGACCUCUCUUGCCCCGAUGAAUUUCUCAACUCAUCUCCAUCGACAGAGGAAUCUCAGUGUGCUGUGUUCCCCACCGCCUCUGCCUGAGCGCCCUGCCCCUGCCCGUCCCCAUCUUCAUCUGGCCAGUUCCUACUGCAAGAACCCUUCAGACACGAUCUCCUCAGAGAAACACUCGCUGACCUCCUGACCCUCACAGGGCCCCUGCUAUGCAUUCCUGGGGCCCUCCUUCUUUCCAUCCUCUUAACAGACCUGACAAGAUCAGCUUCCCCUCCUAAACCAUGAACUCUCUCAAGGACCUGGACUGUGCCUUGUUGUCUGUUCAACUGUGACCUCACUCUAGAUGGUAGAGCCCAAUGCCCAGCAUGCAAUUAACAGGAGCUGCCUGCAGACACAAGGCUGGCUCUGUGUCCCCUCCCAGCUGAGACACUGAGCCCCAGCACUAGGCACGUGGAUGGGUUGGGCACAUGACCUCCCUCCCUUUCUGAGCACCUUGCCCAUUCCAAGAGCUCACGGAAUCAGACUCCGCGACUGCCCUGAGUUCUGACUUCUCUCCCCAUCUCCCUGCACUUUGAUUCUCUUGACCAUGGGUCCUCCUCACUGCAUAUCCCCUGCCUGCUUGAGAAAAGGGAUGCAGCCCAGAUGGUCAAUAACCCCCUGAGGUCCUCCUCCUAGGAAUGUCUGUAUUUGCUCACAAAGAGAAGUUUAUAUAUAUAAAACCAAGAAACAAAUUUCUAAUGGUAUUAAUUGAAUUUUAGGCAGUAGCAGAAAGAAAAAAAGAUUUGGGAAGCAGGGAGUUUCACUUGAUUCCUGAAAUCACCUCUAGUAGGUAAUGCCCACCUCUGCUGUGUCUAAGAUCAGCCCUGACUCAAUCUUAGGAUUAGGCACCGCCUGCCAGCCAUGGCAGGACAGUCCACAGAUAUGUCCCCAGGUGGCCACUGUCACCUCCUUUCAGCCUGACCUCAGCUGGCUGUCCUCCUUGACAACAGUCCUCUCUGGCUGAAGACUGGAAACUGUAGGCUAGAGCUCCUGCUUUCCUUUCUGGGACUCUAACACAGUACCAGCCCAACUUUCCAUGCCUCUGUCAGGUCAGCAUGGUAUCAGAGAUGGCUGUUUGGCCACUCUCCUCCUGCAAUAAUACUCCACGCUCCACCAACCCCUGUUCCAUCUGAGAGCCACUCACAGUCAGCUCUGCCCGAGGUCCCUGAUAGAUUGGCUGGUGCCAAGGAUCCAUUGAGGAGAUGGCACAGAGCCACACAGGGGAGCAACAACAUUGGAAGAGGGCAAGGUCAAGUUGACAAAUACCAUAUACGAUCAGAAAGAAUUGCAUGAACCGCAGUGGCAUAAUGUAGCAUAACAGAUGGAUAAUUAGAUUUAUUCUAAGAGCUGUAAAAGUAAGUAAUUAAAUAAAAAUAUGGAACAAUGAAUCUGCCACAGAGAGACAUCUAACAGCCUCACAAGGGCCUUGCAGCUGGCACGAGCAGCCUGGGAAGGAAGCAGUGGGCAAGGAACCUCUAACACUGCCCUGAUGUUUUAGGCACAAUAAAUUUAGCACCAGCUCACACUGGGCACAAGGGGACAGCUUGAUCUCAGAGGGGGAUAAUCACACCCAUGGCUGCAACAGUACUGUGCCCUGGGAGUAUGGCCUCUUGUCUGCAUCUGGAAGACAGCAGCCUGAGGUAUUCCGAUAAAUGCCCCACCACUGGCAUGUUUGGAAAGGCCCCUGCAAAGCAAGACUGGCAGAUUGUAUUUAUCUUUGCAGAAGCAGAGGCAGAGAGGAAGGGAGAUGAAAAUGUAUGCACAGAUGACAGGAUUCACUGCCACCAACAAAGGCAGGCUGGGAGACCCAGGUUCAGGUCUCCACUCUCCUCCCAAAGGAUGGUGGCAGAUGGUGAGGGUACAGUUACCACAUAAGAAACACAAGGCAAGCACCCAAUGUGUGCAAAGCAAAGUGUUAGGUACAGGAUUUCACCAGGGAAGCAGCUUC
rnacentral:lncRNA from 1 species